rnacentral:rRNA from 1 species
UACGUAGGGUGCGAGCGUUAAUCGGAAUUACUGGGCGUAAAGCGUGCGCAGGCGGUGAUGUAAGACAGAUGUGAAAUCCCCGGGCUCAACCUGGGACCUGCAUUUGUGACUGCAUCGCUGGAGUGCGGCAGAGGGGGAUGGAAUUCCGCGUGUAGCAGUGAAAUGCGUAGAUAUGCGGAGGAACACCGAUGGCGAAGGCAGCCCCCUGGGUCAAGAUUGACGCUCAUGCACGAAAGCGUGGGGAGCAAACAGG